GGGAGGUCCUGGAGUGGGGAGAGGGACAGCUAGUUUCUGUUCAUUUUUCCUAGCUGCUGCUGCUCGUAGAGAGGAGAACCCAACAGAAGCCUGAGUCUAACCUAAAUCUGCCUGUUCUGAUGCUUUGCUGCCCCUCAGGCCUUCCGAAGAACUUUCCUCAGGAACAUAUGACUCAGCAGUUGGAUUCCCAGGGGGACAGAGGCCCCGAAGUUCUCCCUGCUAUGGUUGGAGUCCACACCUCUGGAACUUGGCACCUGAUCUUGGAAGGCCAGAGGGGUAAGUCGGUUUCAUUUUGGAUUCCUCGGGCUACAGUUCACCCUGGCUCCCCGGAUUUCCUGGCAGAAGACCCCCUGGUGGGGGGGUAGGAGGGGUGAUCCCUGCCAUCAGAUAGUCAAGUGGGGUUCUCGGUUCUCACUGCAUUGGGCCCAAAGGCCCCCUGAGAAAUCCGGAGGAACCUGGGUUUGGGGAAAAGCCAGCCUGUGAAUUACCCCUGACCCCUUCGUAGCAGAAAUAGUUAAUGUGAUGGUGGUCCUAGGAUGGCGACGAACCGUCCUUUAGGGACUUCAGAAGAUGAGCUGGGAUGCCGUUGGGCUGGGUUCUGGGGACCAUCUCCCAGAGUUCAGCAAGGCUCUGCAGGGGGGUCUCAGGGGAAGAGUUGAGCCUGCUGAGGGGAGGGUCUCGAAGCCCCAGAGCAUCCAAGGUGGUGGGUGAUGACAGGCCACCCAAAAGUGUGGCCAGAGAGGCGGGGUGAAGGCCCAACUUUUUUUUUUGGUCUUGUUUGACCAGCCUUGGCACUGCCCCCCCCCCCCAGCUCUCCAGGGGAAAGCUGCAAUUCUGCUAUUGCAACACAGGGAGCAGACUGGAGAAUUUAGAUCUGCGUCACACAGCUCAGAGAGAGAGAGAGGGAGAGAGAGAGGGAGAGCUCCGUCGAUAGGUCUGUUAGCAACAGCCCUGCAGCAGCAGCAGCAGCAGCAGCAGCAGAGAGAGAGAGAGAGAGAGAGAGAGAGAGAGAGAGAGAGAGAGAGAAGUAAUAUCAACAUUGAGGACUAGGUCCUGCCAACCCACUUGCGAAGCUUUCAGAGAUGUAUUGGGGACAUCGCAGCCCGUGGGAGCUCGGGCAGAGAAGAUGGCAUGCAAGGUGGCAGGAUGGCUCUGUGGGGAAGGAGGCUGGGGGGGCAGAGGUUGGGGGGCGAUGGCAGGCUCCGCCGGGGACGAAAUUCUGGAACAUUCUGUCCUGCGACACCAUACGGCAAGUUGGAUGGAGAGCCGGGACUGCGCAGGAGGCGACAGGCAGUUGUGACGGGCUCCCAGACUUGGUGGUGUGUACCCCUUCUUCCCCCACGUAUGUAUAUUCUGGGAUCGGGGGCGAUUCUUCUGUGGAGGGGGGUGCUUUCUCUCCUCAUCGCUUUUUUUUUUUUUUUUGGCUGUUUCCCUUUAAUUUUUCCACUUUAAUUUCCAUUCUCCUUAGGGUGAGUUAGUCCAAACUGACAUGGGUCAUGAGGAAGGAAACAGACUCCCCCUCCCCCCUCCAGGUUCCACUUCCAUCCACACCUUGAGCCCAGCAGGAGGUCCCUUUCUUUAGGAUGGACAGAUGACUCACCCUCUCUUUGGGUAUCUGUCUGUCAAUCAACAGAGUUGUGAUGCAGAAACGUUAGUGGGGGGGCCAGGGAAAGAAAAGGUGAAGGGACAACUUGGUUGGGGGCUCCCUGGCCCAAGGUCUGGCCAUGGGAGCGAGCGUCAGGGUCUGGGUGGAGCGGGAAGGGGGGUGGGACCCGGGCGCCCGGGUGGGGGCUGAGACUGUGGCAGGUUUGUCACUGCGUAGUUGGGGGAACUAAGUGGCGAGUGGUGACGCAGUCAUGGGCACAUCUGAGGGGGGCAGGGGAUCGAGGCUCCCCGAGUCUGCCGAGCCCCGCUGAGAGGGUUAAGGAUGAGCCGAGAAGGGGAAGCCAGCAUUUAGAGAUUAAAUGUCAUCCUUCUGGCGUUGCAAAGUUGUUUACCUUGCAUUCUCUGUGUCUCCAUGUUGGCAUCUCUCCAGUUCCCAUGUGAUGGCCUUCCCUGUACUGCUGCAUCAUUAACUAAGUGGCAGGGCUGGCCCUUCAUUGGCCAGGGGAGGGCUCAGGCUCCAGACACUUCCUCCCAUUGGUGAGAAGGGUGAUGGCAGGUGAAAAGCUCUUUUGGAUUGGCCGAGAACUGGGUAUCAAAUCUGAAUUUCCAUUUCACUGGAGAAAAAAAGGGGGGUAGUGUGGCGAUGAUGGUUGGAGCGUGGAGGGGGGCACCGGGCAGUUCGGAUCUCUGAAAGCUCUUCAGGGGCGUGUGUGUGUGCAACAGUGCCCAGGGUGCUUGGAGGCGGAAGCUCCUGGGCAUCCGAAGGACCCACAGGGCCAGCUUGAUUGCAUUUGCUCCUUAGGUGUAAGAAGAUCUUGCAGCUGUACAAACUUUUUUUUAAAUGGGUUUUUUUUUCUGGAGGGGGAGAAGAGUUGAUUUGAGAGGCAUGAGGGAUGGCAGAAGAGUUGACAGCCUCAGAAGAAAAGCUGCCUGGGCUUAUUUGAUUUCAAAAGAGGGAGUUUCCAGCUGUCACUGGCCGCACCUUGGUGUUGCAGCAAAUAACUCCCAACUCUCCUGGAAAUGCGUGGGCAAGGUAGGGCUGCGGCUGCUGCCUCCCGGGGCGGCCUCCAGACUGCUCCCCGGGGACCCGAGGUUUGCACUGACGUCCGGAGGUAGCCAUAGGUCCUCAGAGGCCAGCCUCGCGUCGGGGAGGACUGGCCUUCCUCACGUCAUCCUCAGGUGGAUGGGUGCUGGGGGAGAGGAAUGCCAUGAGGAAUGGCCCCGGAUGUUAGCCCCUGCGCUGGGUGGGCUUUCUCUAAGAGCUGAUGGAAGAAAGAGCUUCCUGACCUGCAUCGAAGGAGAGGAGAAUUGGGAGAGAGAAACUGGGGCAGCAGCUGCUGGGGGGAAUCUGAAAAAGAAAUGUUUAUCGAGAUCGUCAUCCUUCCCUUAAAUGGAGGUCCCAAGUUUGCCGUAGAUGUUCAGGUAAGAAAUAGAUAGGCCCCUUGAGCUCAGCUAUCCUCCCCCCCCCACCUCCCGAGUGGGUCAUGAAAGCUCCGUUGUGCCCCGGCCGUCCACCCCAGCGCCGCAGUGCACCCUGGAGUUUUGGCCGGCGGCUCGUGCCCCCCCAUUUCUUAUGUAACCGUGUUAUGUGCCUUCUCUCGUCCUCUGGCACGGCCCUCGCCCCGUUGGGGUGCAGAAAGCCCAGGAGGGAGGUCCUGGCUGGGGGAGAAAUUAGUGAACAAGGCUGCUCACCAGCCCCUGAGUGGUUGCGCAGUUGGCAAUACGGGCUGGGCGUGAGGGCAGAUUCCACCCUGUCCCUGCCUUGUCACCAGUGGUUUCCUGGGAACAUCUGCCUUGGAGAGAGAACGGUCCCUUUCAACUUCCUUCUGUAACUCAGCUCAUUUUGGAGGGGGGGAGAGCUUUCCAAAGGAGAAGGUAUGAUGGCUAACAAAGUAAGAUUUUAAAAAAAAAUUUUUUUUUAAGCAAAGAUGGAGGUCGGAUGGGAUGGCGUAGUUCUUGUGACUUUCUCGGGUCAUCCCGAUCCCGGUUGUUUUUCUUGUCCUUUUUUAAUUGUUUGCCCCUGGACAGUGGUCUUGAAUCCAGAUGCUUUCCUGUUGCUUGUCUUGGGGAGGUGUCCAUCAGUCCCUGCCAUGGUGGAGUGGGCUUCUGCGGCCCUACUGCGCCAAUUGCGCAGAACGGGCGGGGGCCGAUGCGGGGAGGGGGGAGGAGAUAGAGAACCCGGCUACUGCAGAAGCAGCAGAGGACGUAGUGGAGGUUGCGGCAGUGAGAGGAGGAGGUUCUCGGAGCCGGGAAGGGCUUGUUGUGCCCACCCUUACCCCGAGACCCAGACUUUGGGAAACAUGAUUAUUGUUCUUGGGACUUAUGGCUGUGUUGGGCAGGGCCCUCGCCAGUCAGAAAGUGUUUGGAGGCACAGACUGCAACGAUCCCCUCCUCGGAGAAAGUCCUGACGCACUUUGGGGUGGGGUGGCUGACGUAGCCCAGAACGUGAGAAGCAUCGGCCGUGGGGCCCGUGUUCCCGGCAGCCCAUUCUUCGACCACCGGCUGUGACGGGACGUGAAUCAGGUUUUGCUGCUUUCCAUGGCGUUUUGUGUAUGUCGAGAAUCCCGGGGGGGAUUUGAAGGUCACCCCUUCGUUUUACAGAUUACCCAUCAGCGCCUGCUUUGCCACUUUGAGAGCUGCCUGGAGCUCCGAGGUCAGUGACUUGUAUCGGAUCGCACCAUCAGGAUGUGCCAGGGAUGCAGGAUUCUCUCCUCUCAGAGGGCUCAUCAGAAUGCCCAUGAUGGAUGCUGAGCCACAGAAACAUUGUUGGAGAACCUAGAACCUCCCUGGCCCAGCACUGUGUUUUGCAUAUAAUAGCCCCUGAAUAAAUGCUUAUUGGAUUGGAAUGAACUGAUUAAAUCAGCGAUCUUUGAAUUCCUGAAGUAAAUUUCUCCAGAAACCAUCUGUCAGCCUGUGUUAGAGACAUUUAUCAGGCUUUCAGGGAUGCAGGUGGCCGUGAGUCAUGGAAUGCCAGGGCUCUGGAGAAUGAAAGGUGUGCGUCACACAGAGAAGUGAUGGUGGGCGUCUGGCGUUGGCUGCGCAGGUGCGUUGUCAGCACGGCGGGGGGAAGGUGGGCCAGCCGCGUGGAGAGUGAGAGAACCAGUGGGCGGUCCACCUGAAGGUAAGCAACUGCUCCGAACCCACAGGCAUUUAUUAGGUACCUGCUGUGUGCACGGACAUUGCUGGGGGGGGGGGGGGGUCAAAAUCUUCAAGGAACUUUCUGCUUCAUUGGGGGGUGGGAUGCAACAUGUGAAGACAAAUAUAUACAUGGUCCUUUGACACGAAGGGAGAAAAGAGCAUCAACAAUUAAAGAUUUCAGGAAAGGUUUCCUAUAGAAAAGGAUGUCAUUCCUAGGAUUAAAUACAAAAUCUUGCACUUGGCAUUUAAAGUCCUAGACAACAUGGCUCCCAUCCACCUUUCUAGGACCCUAGAGGUACAGACUUGGAGUUCAGAUGAGAGGUUAGAGACACACACACACACAGGUUACAUAUAUGUAUGCAUGCAUGUGUGUGUGUACACACAUGCUUAUGUGUACCUUUAUUGUAUGUGUGCAUGUGUGUAUAUGAGUAUGUUUAUGGAUAUAUGUAAUAUGUGUGUAUAUGUACAUAUAUUUGAGAGGCUUUUACAGAAGAAUGAUAAUUGAAUCCAUGGAAGCUGAUGAGUUUAUUACAACAGGAUGUAAAAAAGACUAAAGAAGAGCACCUUCAACACAGCCUUGGGAUGUACUAAGCAAAGUUGGUGAGCCAAAAUGACUUGGAAGGGGUUAGACAGGUAGGAGAAUAAGGAUAGAGCAUUAUCAUCAAGACCCAUGGAGAGGAGAUGGUUUCCAAGAAGAGGGAAUGGUCAGCAGUGUCACAAAGCUUCAGAGGGAUCAAAAAAGAGGAAAACUCUGAUAAUAGGUUAACAGAGUUCACAGGAAUAGUUAAGAGAGCAUUGGUGAAGAUCAGAAUGCAAGGCGUUGAGAAGUGGGAAGUGAUGAAGCCUUUUUCUAGGAAUUUGGCCACAAGAGGGAGAAGAGAUAUACAAUAUAAUGGCUUGAGAGGAUGGAAACAUAGAAUAAGGGGGAAAGGGAGCUUUUUUCUUGGCAAAACAAUAAUCAGGAUUCUCUUCUUUAAGACAGGGGAGAUUUAUGGGGAAGUAACCACACUGAUAAAGUCCUAGGUCCAUUGAAGAUUAUCUAAAGGUUGUCUCCAGUUCAUUUACUGGAUCUUCCUUGAGCAACUUGGGAAGGCAGAGUAAGAGGAGGCAUGGAGGGGUUGUCAAUCUGCCCUGGUGAGGGAGUUCCACCAUUGAGUUCAGAGAUCCAUUCAAGUAUCAAAACGCUUUAUUUAAUUGGGCCCCAUGAAGGCCUAUGUGGCUGGCUUCCAAGGAUUAGCUCGGAUAUGUGCUGAGAGACUCAUCAACCAGAAGGUUGGUCACUAGGUGAUGAAUUAUUUUGGCUACAGAAGCAAAUAGACUAUGAAUGCUAAGGUGUGGAGAGGUUGCCAUCUGCUUCCUUGGAGGGUGCAACCAUGCCAAUUAAAUCAUAGAUCCCUGAAGCAUUGGAGGAAUUAUUAUUUAACAGUUCUGGUCUGGGGUUCAUUUAAAGAUGGAUUCUGAGUGAGAGAAUUCUUUCUUUUGGGAGGAAGAUAGACAGAGAUAGAGAAAUAGAGACAGAGAGAAACAGAGAAAGAGAGAGAGCAGAUAGACACAGAGAGAGGGAGACAGACAGAGAGAAACAAAGAGAGAAACAGUGAGAGAGAGAAGAGACAAAGAAAGACACAGAGAGAGGGAGACAGAAACAGAAAGAGUGAGAGAGAAACGAGAGAGAGGGAAAGAGAAACAAAAGAGAGGGAAAGAGAAACAGAGAAGAGAGGGAAAGAGAAGCAGAGGGAGACAGAGAGAAACAGAGUGAGAGAGAAAGAGAAGAGAGGGAAAGAGAAACAGAGAGAAGAGACAGAGAUAGACACAGUGAGAGGAAGACAGGGAAAGAAACAGAGAGAAGAGAGGGAAAGAGAAACAGAGAGAGGAGACAGAGAGACAGACACAGAGAGAGGGAGACAGAGAAACAGAAAGAGUGAGAGAGAAACAGAGAGAGAAAAGAGGGAGAAACAGAGAAGACAGAGUUUAUAAAGCCCUACUUCUUGUCAGCUUGCUUUCCUUGACCUUUAUGGCUUUGGGUGAUGGAAGAUCUCUGAGCGGGAGGGAUGUUUAUGGGCAUGGAGUGAAAGAAACGACUCCCAUAGAAGGAGUAUUACUUUGCUGAGUUUUCAGGAUGAGGCUCUCUGAAGGGUUGUAGUUGGUUCCUAUUGUUUGAAUUGCCUGGUGAGGUUUUGGUUUUAAAGGUGCUAUAUGAAGUUGGACUAAAGCAGGUUCCUUUCACUGGGGAGUCAUUAGUGACUCAGUGAGGCUGGGGAGGGUUAGGGGGCUUUGUGUCCUUGGGACCUUUCUGUGAGUCUCUUGAAAUACCAUGUUUAUCUGAUAAGUAGCAGCCCUGCAGUCUUUGAGGGGAUGCUCCAUGAGGGAUAAUGAGCAGCUCUUUCUAUUUUACAUGGAGAUUUAUAAGAAGUUUGCAGUGUGGUGGAUUUCAGUUAGAUAUUGGGCAGAACUUCUGGAUCAGAUCAGGAGAAACCAGACCAACAGGCAGUGGUUAGGGUUUUCUAAGAAAAGGGGCUAAUUUAUCAGUUGACUCCAGGAUAGGGAUUUGUGGAAGUGCAUUGUUGGAGACAAGCAACUUUUCAAGAGCCUUCUUGGCCUUGGCAUAAUUACAUGACUGCCACAUGUUCUGAUAGCUAAGGAACUGGGUUACCGUGGCCCUCGCCCCCUUUCUGCUUCAGGGUCUCUCUUUACUCCGUGCUGUAGCUGCUGAGCCAAGAGGCUUGAAUUGUGUUGUACUAGAGUAAAUGCUUUGUCCUGGCAACCCACCCCCUAACCUGACUUGUGUGGGCUCCUGGAACUUGCCCCAGAAAUAGCUUUUUUUUUUUAUGAGAAUAAAAAAAAAAGAAAAGGAAAAAAAAAGGAAGAAAAAGGCCCAUGAGGGCAUGUUCCCACCAAUCCCUCCCAGGGAGGAGCCUCAGGCUGGGUGGGACCUGUAGCCACAGGCCUGGGCACUGCCCACCUGCCCCGCAGCCAGGAAUUCUGGUAGUUGUGUAGGAGGGAGCUCUGUGGUCCAACAGGGUAAAUUUGGCACCACUAUCCAGAGAUGAUUUUUUGAAGGUUGGGGGGGAAGGGACAGAAGUAGAAUUGUGUGCAUCCCUUGCCUUCCCUAUAGCUCUACCUGUGAAUAAGGUAGAGAUCUACCGAGACAUGGCCGUCAUUCGUGCUGAAAUGGCUGGGAUGGUACUGGGUGAAUAGUGGUGGUUUAAGGUAGAGCCUCACCUGGGGAACAGGAAGUACAUGUGCAUGUUUCUUAGUUAAGAACUGGACGGUCCAGAGCUUGGAAAAAUAAAUAAAGAUACAGCUAAGUAUAGAUUUUAAUAGAAGAGCAAAGUCUGCUGUUCAGAAGAACUAUUUGAAAUCGGACAGUUUUUCUUUUUGUAGUUAGCAUAAUGCAGGACCCAUUGUAAAGGCCUACUGAAUGCUUCUCCAUCGCAUCCCAUUGCCUGGGGAUUGGCGGGGGGGCCGUGAGUUCACUGCCGUUGGUCUUUCCCUCUUGGGCUACUGGAAAGGGUAGGACAAGAGCCAGCAACAUUUUGGUGGACGGUGAUCAGGAGAGCUCACGGCCUACUGUGCUUCAAAGUUUCCCCAAGUGUUUUCCUUCUAGCCAUUUUAAAAAUGAGAAAAUUGAGGCUUAAGGAGAUCAUGACUUGCCUGGGUAGCAGAGCUGGACCUGAAGCCUGCUUCUUUAGGCCCAGAGUCUAAGGUUCUUCCCCCAGUCUGAAUUUUCUUACUCUCCAUCUCUCUGUCGCUCCAUUUGUAGACCACGUGCAAACGUGUCCGUGUGAACUUCCUCUGACGUGCAUUUAAGUUGAUAGAGAUGCAUGGAUGGGGCAGGCUCUGUGUGUGUGACUGCGCAGAUAUGUGUGCGAGUGUGGGAAUAGUGAUGUCAUCGGCAGGAUAGAGAACUUCCAGGAAAGACGUUUUCCCCACCAACACAAACCAAUAAUAUUUGGGAGCUUUUAGGCAUCGAAGAGUUAAGCUGCCUGUCAAGCCCCAAAGUAGAAGUCAGAGGCAAGAGUUAAAUCCGGGUUUUCCUGACUCACCCCUGCGUUCUACCCAUUAGCCCUUGCCCUUCUCACACUUGGUUCUGGAGGACAACUCGUAGACCCCCUUUCCAUAAUCUAUCCGUUACAUAUCUGGUGUAUUGCAUUGUACUGAUUAAUUUUUAAGAAAAUGUCUUGGGUCACUUAACUUUAGGGGAAAAAAAGUUUUAGAUAUAAGCCAGAGCUCAUUUCAGAGAUAAGCCAUCUGCCCAGACUGACCCGUGGGACCCCAGGAUGGUCCGGGACCAAGGUGGCAAACCCCGGCCCUGACAGGAGGGCCUGCGGCGUCUCCACAGGGUUCCUGGGGAGGGGAGGGAUAGGUCACUUUCUCCAUUCCCACUCUCCUUUUCAGUUGCUUUUCUUUUGUCUUGACCUCUGGCUCAUUGACCCUUAAAGCCCCAGCCCCUGAUGGUGCAACCAAGCAUGUCCUUGUCGGGCCCGGAGUGCCUCCGCAGGAUGGGAGAGGAGAGCAUGAGGGUAGAGGGCAGAGAGAGGGGACACGUGUUCUUGGCCAUUGGGCCCUUUCCAAGACAGGUGAACUCUGUGUUCAAAAAGGAGCUAAUUUAAUCUCUUGGCUCCAGUGUGCUUUCUCAAUCUUCCCCAGCCUGCCCCCCCCCCCCCACGCACACACACCUUUAAAGAAUUUAAUCUGCUCAACAACAAACAAUACUGUUAUAAAACUUUGAAAACAAGAGGGCGAGGUCUCCCCGACAAGAGGAGAAGUGCAUGUUGGGUAACGGCCGGAGGGAGAGUGCCAGGCCUGGGAUAGAGCCGGGCGAGAGCCCAGUUGGCUUGGUACCUGGGCACCCGCCCCCACCAGCAGCGUCAUUGCUGACAGGAGGGGGAGACAUCAAAGUUCAGUCAGGGAUCUCUCUCCCCCUCCCUCCUUCUCCUUUCCUCUCCCUCUCUUCUGUCUCUUUUCCCUCCCUCCCUCCUUUCCCCCUCUUUCUCUCUCUCUCUUGUCUCUCUCACAAUCUAUUUCAUUCCCUUCUCUUUCCCUCCAUCCUUUCUCUCCCUCCCUCCUUCCCCACCCCAUUCUCUCUCUUUCCUUCCCUCCUUUUUGCCUCCUCUCCCCUUCCCCCCCCCCCCCCCCCCCAUGGGAAUUCACCAGACUGUGAAACUUCCUCCUCCACCCCUCCCUCCCCGACUCGCUGUUCCUGGUCAUAAGACUGGCAGAGACAGGUCCUGAUAGCAGAGCAGGCCGGUGGGCAGCCGCCCCGCCGCUCGCCACAUGGUGCUUUAGGGGAAGCAGGCGAGGGGCGCGCUCACCGGGCGCUGGGCUCCGGACCUACCCCAUGACCGGCCGGGCCCGGCCCCGCUCCCCCCCCCCCCCAGGAGCAAAGUGGAGCGGCGUCACUGGGCGUGCCCGGCUCGGUGUGCCGCCUGCCAGGUGUGCCAGGCAGUGGGCAGAGCUGCCAGGCUGAGGCUGGCCGACGUGCCCAGCGCUUCCAGGGCGAGAAAGAAGGGGCGCAGGGGGCUGCACUAGGGAGGCCUCUGACCUGUCAGAACCCUUUCCUCAGGGCUGGGAGUCCUUUGGAAGAAGUGGAAGCUGUGCCGGGGACACCGGCACCUGGCCGACUCCUGAGAGCGUGAGGACGACGGGGCUUCCUCCAGCCGCGGCCUCCUGGGGAGCAGGUGCCCAGCCGAGAGUGCCCGGUAGGAGACAGCCCGCCCCGAGGGGCCGGGGAGGGGGGGCCGGGCUCCCCCAGCUCGGGGCCUGGGGAGCGAGCACAUGGAGCCCGGGGCCUCCCCAGGCUCCUCCCUCCGGGCUCCUCCUGACAUUGCCCCAGCCCCGGCCUGUUGGCUCUCCCGGGCUGCGGUUUCACUUUUGAAUCGGCCUUCCCCGGAGAGGGCCUUAAUCCUCCGGUGUGUGUCUGAGACUUUGGGCCCGGACUCGGAGGCCCACCUGUUGGGGCGGCGACCCCUGUGCGCGCCCCCGGAAGGGUCUUCGCUCCUCCGGGAGCACCGGGAGGGCACCAGCUUCCUUUCCCUGCCCCGUGCCUGGGCCUUUCCGGGGCGCUCUCACACACACGGGCAUCCCCCCUUGGAGCCAGACCCAGAAGCCUCUCCUUCCCCCUCAGGAAACCAGAGAGCCGGUGCCGGGGACCUCACACAGUGAUUUCCUGACAGAGGGCCUCCCUUUGUGGGUUAGCCUGCACCUUCUGGGCUUUGUCAUUGGGAGCUAGAACGGCCGUGCGGAGGCCCCGGUGGUCCUGCCCCUCCCCUCCCCCCCCCCCCCCCGGAGGCGGGCCCCCGCCCCGCCCCCGUGCCUGCAGGACGGGAAGGCCCCCCCAGGGCGAUCGCAAAAGGGUCCCCUCGAGUCCCAGCCCCCCGCGAGGCAGCCGGGGGAGCCGGAGUCAGGGCCCAGGAGGGAGGCCCGGGGCCGCGUGCUCCGGCUGGGAUGUAAGGGCCAAGCCGGGGCGAGCUGGGAGCAGAGCUGGCCCCGCCCCCUGCAGACCCAGACCCCGUGUCCCCGCCGCGUGGGGCCUGGCGAGGCCCGGAGCGGCGUUUCCUGCCGGACUCCCGGGGCCGGCCCGGAGCGGGGCUUUUCUGCGUCCUUUGCGCCCACCCCUCGGCGGCUGUGAGCCGGCGCCGGAGGCACGGGCAGGACGGAGAAGCUGCUGCUGCUGUCGGGGGAGUCUCUGCGGGCCCUGAGGCGGGCCGGGGAGGACGGGCGGCCCCCCCAGGGCUCUCUCCCCCGCUUCCCACAAGUUCUCCAUCCCUCCUUAGCCGAGUACUUAUCAGGGACCGGCUCCAUGCGCGGUGCUGGGGGAGGCCCAGGAACCGCGGAGCCCCCGCCGGUUCUGCAGCUGUGCUUUCUCCCUUUGGGGAGGCAAUGGAGCGGCCGCCUCUGUGCUCGGGUCCUCCCGCCCGCAGGGCGGCGCUCUCACUCCGCCGGCCCUCCCUGCGUGUAGGUCUGCCACCCGAGAUCUCCUGGGUCCGGCUUUUCCUCAGACGGACAGACCCCCUCCCUCUCAUUUUGGUCGGCGCCACUAGGGGUACGGCGUGGGAGAGCCCCGUCCUCCGGUCAAUGCGCCGCCGGGCUGGAGGCUUCGGUUAGCCACAGCCUCAGGCAGUGGGGGGUGGGGAGGGAGGGAAGGGCCGGCUCUUUGAGUAAAAUGUAAGAUCUCCUUGGGCCUUUGCAUCCCCAGGGCCCUGCACACAGAGGACACAUCAAUAAAUGCGUUAGGGCCGCUAGGGGACGCUGCGGAGGGAGCCCCAGCCCGGAAGUCAGGAGGCCCCGAGUUCAAAUCCAGCCUCGGACACUUAACGCCUCCUGGCUGUGUGACCCCGGGCAAGUCACUUAACCCCAGCUGCCUCAGCGAACAUAGAUAAAGGUGUUAGAUCUCAGGUGCGAUGCACCUCGGCUGGUUGGGUUGCAGGAAGGCCGCGGGCCCGGUCAGGGACGGCUUGCGGAGAGGACAGACGCCCUGGGGGGGGGGGGGGGGG
rnacentral:lncRNA from 1 species